ensembl:lncRNA
GGAAAUUUAAAUGCUUUUAUUAACAAUCUCCUUACAUUACAAGGAUAAUAUGACAAAAGGAAAGUUUCUGCGUACAUAUUAUGAUAAACCAACAUAGCUCUAUUUGUAUCCAGUGUUCUAGGUCCCAUCACACAGGUACUAUAAAGCGUAGUCUGCAAAAUAAUAACAUCAAGAGUUUUUUUUUUUUUAAGAAAGAAAGUAUUAACAUAUUAAUAUGUAUGUGAUAAUAGACUCCUAGGUAUUUCCCCCACCCCCACUUUAUUUUUCCUUUGUGAUCAAAAUGAAACGGUUCAGNNNNNNNNNNNNNNNNNNNNNCAGCGUGGGGGUGGAGAGAAGGAGAGAGACGGGGCUGAAAAAGACGGAAUCAGACUGCUGGCUCUUCCGGAGAGACAAAAGUGAAGACUGAGGGUGCCCCGAGGGCAGCCUGGCCCUUGUCUUUUGCGAGCAGUGUGGUGAGCGGCCGGCCUCCUGGCACGGAGGGCGGCGCCCGUGCUGCCCCGUGGGAAGCGCUCUCUCUGAGGUACAGUGCAUUGUGGGAUUGCUACCCGGGGGUGCCCAGCCUCUGGCCACGGGUCUGGUCCACCGCGGCAAGAGGAAGCUCGGACCGGGCCUGGUCUCUCUUGAGCCAGGCACUGGAGGGUGUUUGGAGACCCGGUUGGCAGCUAGCUGUGGCUCAAGGAGACCCAGGUGGACGUGGACGGGGUAGGAGGUGGGCAUUGGCAGAACAGACCCGCCCCGGACUGUAGGUAUGGGGGGGUCUGCUGGAGACUGAGGUACGUUGGUAAAAUGGUAGGAGAGAGUACGACAGAGGUCAGAGGAGGCUCGGAGAUGGGCGAUGGGCACCUCUGGAGAGCCACGAGGCAGAGGCGGGUCUAGAGAGCAGGAGAGGCAGCUGCCCUCUCUCUCCCUCCCUUCCGCUGUGGCCCCAUCGGCCCCUCCUCCCCUAACUUCCGGGGAAAGAAACAAUCGAGAGAAACCUGGAAGUGAAACGGAUUUCUGAUUCUGUCAGGGCUGCACGAGCCCUUCGUCAUGCUGCCAGUGGCACUGGUGCCCCCCUGGCCCCCAGACAUUCCCACCAUCUGGGGGUGGGAGCAGGGACAAGCGGAGGAAGGUGCCCUCCCCAGCGGAAGUGGAUGAGCUUGGGGCAUGCGGCUCAGCCUCUGCCUCGAGUCACAGAAUCAGAACAGUGUACGUGAACUAAACUUGCCUGCUAUGGUGCCGGUGGGGUGACGGGGUCACUGGGCCUCCGUGCAGGAGAGGGAAGAACGUUAUCCUGAGUUCAGCCAGCAGCAGCAGCUGUGCAAAGUGGGCUGGGCCAAAGCCCUGCUUCUGAACUGGAGUUGCUACUGAAUGUAUGAGUGUGCGGAUAUGUCUCUCUCACCCCUCCCCAUUAGCUGAUGCCCCCUGCCCUGGCCAGAAAGCCUCUGGAUGGUGGGCAGCCCUGGCUGGCCAUGCUGUCCUGGUAGACAGUGAUGGAGUCGGCGAGGGAGGCCAGGACGGCGGUACCGCAAAGGUUUGGCCUCUAGGGGGCAGCAGAAAGUAUCUAAAGGGGAGGGGGUGGCAUCUUUCCUGGACCUCGCUGGGUCCCAUCUGCAUCUUUCCUAUUGCCACCAACGCUGCUCAUUCCUGUGGAGGGGAGGUUAUUGGGGGGAAAUUGUGCGGUGGUCCCUUCACCAUGGGUCAGAGACCACAUCCCACUGCCAAGCAGUGACCACCCAAGCGUAUAGGCUGGGGGCGGGGACGAGAGGGGCACUUGAGGGGGAGCUCAAGCGGUGAGCAUCUCCUCCGGACCUCAGACCAAGCCUGUGGGGAAGGAGAGAAAGUGCACGGAGAGGGCCGGGACUGGCUGCUCUCCUCUCCAACCCUCUGGGUAGGAGGCCCCGUUCCCAGCAAACCCUGCCUGCUCAGCUCCCCGGCUCCUCCACAAAGGCUCUGCCUCCUCCCUCUUCUCACAACACAGCGACAGGCUUUCCCGCUGCUCUCCCAGCUCUCUAUAGACUCUAUUUUUAUAUCUAUUUAAAACAUAGAAAUGUAUAAAUAUAUAGGAUAUUAUUUAUAGAUAUAUAGACGUGAUUUAAUCUCUUACUCUGUGUGUAUACGUACUGCAUAUGUCCAUAUAUACAAUAUAUAUGCUGUAGCAUCUGUUUUAUAUACUGCACAUACCCCUGGCUUCCAUGCACUAUCCUGGGGAGACUGGAUUGCAUAGGUAUUUCCAGGGCGAUACCACUUGAAGGGAUGGGGGGGGAGCCAGAUGGAAGAGGAGGGACGUACCAUUUUCCUCCCCAAAGGGCACUUUUUCUCCCUCUGGCUAACACAGAAGAUCACCUCAAAGGCUUCUUAAAAUAUCACAGCUCCAUCCACUCAGCUAAAGCACCUUGUCAACGGAGAGCAGAGAGACGCCUUCCUCCGAGCAGGAGAAGAGCCCUGUGUGUCUCUGGACAUAUCCUUCCCUCCUGGAGAUUGGAGCAGAAAGCUAGCCUAAGACCCAGGACCCAGCACCACCUCCCCAGGAGGCCAGCAUCCGGAAUGGGACUGUCUCCGGAUCACCUGCCCUCCAAACAUGCCUUUCUUGCCUAAGGAGGCCUGGCCUCCCCGCUUUGGCUGUGCCAGGCUGGCCUGGCUGGGCCUGCUGCUUGCAGAGGCGAGGGGGUACGAGGUCCGGAGCCUUCUGGCCAUGCUUGGUGUAGGGACCAAGAAAGAACACGAAUUCUACUUGGAAAUCCACCUAGACCGGAAGCCAAAACCAGAUCUAGAUACAGAAUUCCUCUUCCUACAGGGGGGUGGGGGAAAAAACAAAGGGGGUGGGAGCUACAAGUUCUAUUUCCACCCCCAAGCCACUUUCUGGACCCCAUGAGGCUCCAGGGGUGGAGACCCCCUACUGCCCUAGAUUCGUGGCCCAGCGCCAAAUGCUGCCAUCCAGAGAUCCAGGAGUUGAAGCCUGGUCUCCUCCUCAAAGGAGGGUGAGGAAAUGAGGGCCUGCCCGGAACUAGAGGAUGUCACCCCCAGCCAUCCAAAAAAAAAAAAAAAAAAAAAAUCUGGUGUCGUAAAUGCCCAGACUCUCAUGUUUGACAUGGCAAGAGUUGCAGACACGGCUAAGCUAUCCUCAGGCUU